UACGUAGGGUGCGAGCGUUGUCCGGAAUUAUUGGGCGUAAAGGGCUCGUAGGCGGUUUGUCGCGUCGGGAGUGAAAACCUCAUGCUUAACAUGUGGCUUGCUUUCGAUACGGGCAGACUAGAGGUAUGCAGGGGAGAACGGAAUUCCUGGUGUAGCGGUGAAAUGCGCAGAUAUCAGGAGGAACACCGGUGGCGAAGGCGGUUCUCUGGGCAUUACCUGACGCUGAGGAGCGAAAGUGUGGGGAGCGAACAGG
rnacentral:rRNA from 2 species